UAGCCAAAUGGCAAACAACGGAACCCUUAUGGAUUCGUCAUGUCUGUCUGUCUGUCUGUCUGUCCGUCCGUAUGUCACAGCCACUUUUUUUUGAAACUAUAAGAACUAUACUGUUGAAACUUGGUAAGUAGAUGUAUUCUGUGAACCGCAUUAAGAUUUUCACAUAAAAAUAGAAAAAAAAACAAUAAAUUUUGGGGGUUCCCCAUACUUAGAACUGAAACUCAAAAAUUGUUUUUUCAUCAAACCCAUACGUGUGGGUUAUCUAUAGAUAGGUCUUCAAAAAUGAUAUUGAGGUUUCUAAUAUCAUUUUUGUCUAAACUGAAUAGUUUGCGCGAGAGACACUUCCAAAGUGGUAAAAUGUGU